rnacentral:rRNA from 1 species
UACGAAGGGUGCAAGCGUUAAUCGGAAUUACUGGGCGUUAAGGGUGCGUAGGCGGUUCGUUAAGUCUGUCGUGAAAUCCCCGGGCUCAACCUGGGAAUGGCGAUGGAUACUGGCGAGCUAGAGUGUGUCAGAGGAUGGUGGAAUUCCCGGUGUAGCGGUGAAAUGCGUAGAGAUCGGGAGGAACAUCAGUGGCGAAGGCGGCCAUCUGGGACAACACUGACGCUGAAGCACGAAAGCGUGGGGAGCAAACAGG